ensembl:lncRNA
GCGCAAGGCCCUGGGUUCGGUCCCCAGCUCUGAAAAAAAGAAAAAAAAACCAAAAAAAAAAAGAAAAAGAAAAAGAAGAGAUGACGGUGGAAAAGGAGAACAGGUAGAAGGGAAUGACAUUAAAAAUUGAAUGUAUUGGAAGGGAAGGUUGGUUUUGUAUUAACAACUUCAAGAAAUGGGUGAAUAUAGUAGACGGUUCCUAAAUUAAUGAAUAGCCUUUAUCUGAUCAUACUCUGUAAAUGACUGUUGAAUUUUGGUUUGAUCAUAAAUAUGGGCCAGCAGUGUGUAAGGUGAUCCCCUUGAGGAUAUCAUUAUAGGUUUUAUAAUAAAGUAAGCAAUAGUAUAGAUACCAUGGUCUCUACUUCAUUUCCUGCCCCCAGGUGCAUGUCUUGAAUUGAAAGUUUCUUCUCACGCAUGGUACAUUUGACACUUUAGUUUAUACUUUUCAAUUUGCUGUUGGUUAGAACUUGAUGGAACAUUAAUAAAGCCAUCGAGGACACAGAGAUAGUUUCUCUACUGCCUGCAUAGUAGAGCUUUCUUUAGGGUGCUUACCCCUUGUAUUAAACUUGAGUUUUAAGGAAUAAUAAAUUCUAGGAGUUUACACUGUAACAAAGAAGCUGAUUUAUAUAAAUAUAUUCAUGGCGUGUCUUGUUAAGGGAAAUGACUCAAAUCUUAUAUUUCAUACAUUUUAAUGUGCUUAUCACAAGGCAAAUGUUGAAAAACCUGAACAGUUGAGUGGACAUUUUCAGGGAAUUUGCAGGAGCCAGAGGUCUGAAAAUAGUAGGGGAUUACUAUACUGUUCUUCAUGUGUCACUAUUAAACUGAUAUUGCAAUGGAUACCCACACAAUGCCAGAUUGCAAAAGUUCACAAUUUCAUUCAUAUUUUUUAUACUGAUACCAUAAUAAUUUCAUUUAGUUUACCUACCACUUGAUAGGAGUAAAUCAAAUUUCUUAAUUUAAUGAUAUAUCUAUUGACAAGAAAAAUAGCUGACAUUUUGUACUUUUUUAUGGGAAAUUAUACACGAUGUAGAAUAAUAUUGUGUUCCCCUAAUGACCCUUUAUUGUUUCAUCAAUGGUGAUGGUCUAUUACCUAGACAGGAGUUUCAAUGUAACUAUGUUUAAAUGCUCCAGUAAGUAUUUCCAUAAAAUCUUUCUAUAAGAACCUUUUACUUUCCAUAUCACCAUUUGCAGAGGGUCUGUCAUAGCAGAAUGUAUUAGAGAACAGUAACUUUGCUAAAGUUGCAUUAGCUAUUCACUGAAUUUGUGGAGCUAUAUAUUGUAAUUUUUCAAAUUUUAUUAAAAUAGUAAAUCAUUAAGUAGCCACAGACAAUUAGGUGAUUUAGCUAUCUUCACAAUGGUUAAGGAGGUGUAAGUCUGCAGUUCUCAGGUGAUUUCUCCCAUAUUGCUGUAGGCUUUAGAUAAUCUAGCUGCCAUUGUGUCAUACACACUUACCCAUGGUUCAAUAAAUAACCACAUUAACUAUUGUUUCACUAGCAUCGACAUUAUGUACCCUUUUACUUUCUGAUCUGACAUUACAUCCUAUAUAGGCCAGACAGACUCUUCCUUGUGAAUCUUCCAGAAAAGACAAACAGCUUGAAUGUAUUCCCAGGCAUAGUUUAAAAAUUGUUCUUAACAGUAGUCUAUGAGUAUUUAAAUUAUAUUAAGUUAAAAUUUUAUUCAAAUUUCUUCAGCUGUCACUGAAUGUCUCUGCAUUGAACACGGAGGUCUUCAUCUCAAACUCUCAUACGAACCUUCUGUUUUUGGCUAUACUAAGUUGUAAAUACAAGAUAUCACCUAGCUUGACAGAUAAUUAAUUUAGCAUAUUUUCAUUUUAAGUUAAUAUUUGUGAAACCUCUUGUGUAGAAAUACAUCUGAAUAUAUCCUUUGAUAAUAUGCAUCAAAGCAGUAUCAAUAAUGCCUUAUAUUGUAAAAAUAGGUUUGUGAGUUUCUUAGAAUUUUUAUAUUUAUGAGGCUGUAUCAUUUUCACAAAGGUGUACUACGAUAUAUGUAUCAUUAAUUAAGGUCUACAAUAAGAAAAGGAUUUCUUUUAUUAUUACCUCAGCUAGUACACCUGACAGUAGACUUAGAACACAUAUUAAAUAGAAAUGUGAAAGGAAUUCACAACAAUUUUUUCCUUCACUCUUGAAACUGACCCUUUGCAGAUAAAAUGAUGUGUGAGAAUUUUUGUUAUGAGGAUUAACAUAUUCACUUGUCUACAUAUUUUUCUCAGUGCUUUAUUUUAAAUCAAUUUUGAAUCUGAGAAUAUUUUCUGUUUUCUUUAAAAUAACCAAUUAAUAAAAUUUAUUUGUAUAAUGAAACUUUUUUAAAAAACACUGGGUGCAUACUUGUGGCUUUCUCCUUUCAAAAGUAGUUUGGGUUGAAUCUAUGCAAAUCUUAUAUGUGCUGCCUCAGUCUCUGUGAUUGCCUACAUGUACCUCUAGCAUUGUAUAAAGAAAACAUUGGUUCCUUGGAGUUAUCCACCACCUCAGAACCUUUGCAAUCUUUCUUCCUCUAUUCCUACACAAAUCCAUGACACUUGAAGCACGACAUUUGCCAAAGGGAUUCCAGUAAGGAUUUCGUACUCCAAGGUCUCUCUUUCAGUACACAUACCCCACUGAAUAUCCUUCUAUUAUUUCACAUGUAGUGCAAGAAGCAUCUUUGAUAUGGUUUAAGGAAGGAUAUAUGGGUGUAGUGUUUUGCCAUCAAGAGUCAUUUUAUUUUCAUGUUGCCUUUACAUAAUGAUAGAAGUGUGUUUGUAGCCUGUGACCUAUCUAAUCUAUGGUUCUUAAUUACUUUUGUAGUGUCCAGUAGAGCUUUCCUUCCAUGGAGGAAAGCAUAUAUCCAAUAAAUGUAGGUGUUACAGCCUAUCUUUUUUGUGCCAGUUUGUAGCUUUUGAUCUUGUUAUUUUCCCUACUUAAGUAACAUGGAGCAUAUCUUCAUGUGCAGUCUAUAAUGGGAAAACUUCUGUUUGGACAACAGACUGUUUUUUUCCCAUUCAAUAAUAUGAAUAUAUACUUUCUUCAGUAAUUUUAGCUUAACAUCAGGUAAUUCAGAUUUAAUGAUAGAAUUGUGUAUGGUCUGUGGUGUUUCAGUCAGGUAAUAGAGUUCCACAUUAGCAAAUUACUCAACAAAGCAACCUAUUCCUGUCAGGAAACUUUAUGUAUGAAGAGAUCAUUUAUCUCUCAAUAUAUCUACACCUGUAUUCUUUUGUUAACCUUAAAUACAAUAUUUCAGACUCUAGAGCAUUGGUACAGAAAGUUCUGUUUCCAAAAUUACUCUAGUGGCCAAGCAACCACUGAGAUCCUUUGUAUUCUAUAAUUGAAUUUCUCAGUUACAUAUUAUAGCAGGCUGUCUCUUUUCUAUCCUUUAGGUCCUGUGUCCUUAGUAAAUUAAAAAAAUCAGUUUUAAAUUAUAUAUUUAGUUUCAAUGAUGAUCUAUUUUCUGUUAAAGACAUUUUUAAGUAUGAGUUUAAUUACACAAUUUCCUACAAUAGUCAUUACAAGCACACACACACACGCACACCCACACACACACAGACACACCGACACACACACAGACACACACACACAGAGACACAGACACACACAGACAUACACAGCCACACAGACACAGACACAGACACACACACACAAACACACACACACAGAUAUAUUGUGUAUAAUAAUUCCUAAAUGCAAAAACAAAAUUUGUAUGUCAUGUGAAUUAGGAAG